UACGUAGGGUCCGAGCGUUGUCCGGAAUUAUUGGGCGUAAAGAGCUCGUAGGCGGUGUGUCGCGUCGGCCGUGAAAAACCUGGGGGCUUAACUCUGGGCGUGCGGUCGAUACGGGCAUCACUAGAGUUCGGCAGGGGAGACUGGAAUUCCUGGUGUAGCGGUGAAAUGCGCAGAUAUCAGGAGGAACACCGGUGGCGAAGGGCGGGGUCUCUGGGGCCGAUACUGACGCUGAGGGAGCGAAAAGCAUGGGGUAGCGAAACAGGGAUU
rnacentral:rRNA from 1 species